GGUUUUUGGGGAUAGUUAAGCCCAGGCCUUAAGACAGUUUGAUAUUCAGUUUUGUUAUUUAGGUCUGGGUUAGGGAUACCGCCAGAGAGCAUCCAAACAUUUCUGUGGUUGGGAAGGCUAGUUAUCUGUGAGCAUUCCAGAUGAAAUAGCCUAUAAUGGGUUAUCACCUUUUGAUCUUACCUCAGAGAAGAUUGAAUUGGAUCUACCUAUCUGAUUUAGCAGAAUUAAACUGGAUUUGGAUGGAAGGGUAAUCAGCUAUUUAAUUUGCCAGUUGUUAGUUAGCAUUUCUUCUUGCUGUAUCUCAAGGAUUUACUUUGAAUAUUCUGUAUUUUCUCUUUCCUGCCCAUGAUGGGUUUUCCUUUUAAAAUGCUCAGCACAGGCUGGGUGUGGUGGCUCACUGAUCUGCCAGCCUUGGCUUCCCAAAGUGCUAGGAUUACAGGCAUGAGCCACUGCACUCAGCUAGAAGAAUUCUGAUAGGCUCUGAGCAUCCAUUGUUCCAGGUAUAACAAUUCUGACUUUUUCAGAUACUCUGAUGCUUUUAUGGUAUCCUGCUUGCUGCUGUCUUCUUUUGAAAUUGGAGUUCAAUCACUCUGCUUUUCUUUCUUAAUACUUGUCUGUUUCCUAGAUUUUACAUGCUUUUCCAUGAACACUAAUUUCCUGUAUGAAGAGGGAAUAUACAAAUGAUAGGAUGCUUUCCUGUAACUGAGAUGGCAGGGGGAAGGAGAGGACAGCAACUCAUACAGAAGGAAAUCAGCUUUUGUUGAGCACCCAGAAUUUACCAGAUCAGAUAGAGAGGACAGGUGUAGAAGAAAAUGAGCAUGUAUAAAGUGGAAUAGUGGGACAAUAAAGUACAAAUAUGGAAAAUUAAGUGGAAGGCUUUUAAUGCUGUUAGGGAACUUGGAUUGGGUUAGUAAGUUAUGAGACUGACAUUUUUGAUCCUUGAAAUGUCAUAAUCAGAGGUGAAUUAUAGGUUAUAUAAUCCAAUAGUUUAGAUAAUUAAUUAAAUUGGGAAAUAAGUCAUAGGACCAAUAAAGAAGUGUUUUGAGAGUUUCUCUUAAGGAAUGAAGACCUAACGAGAAUAGCGGCACCGCAGUAGAAGUGUUGCUAAAGUACAUUGGACAGAAAUAAGCAAUUGGAUAUUGGGAAAGAAAGGGAUGAAUAAAAGGUGACAUGAGAUGUUAAGCCUGGGUGAUGGAGAGAAUGUGAUCUCAGCAGGUUUGUGGGUGGAGGUAAAAAUAAGUUUUGUUCUAGAUCUCUUGCUUUUGAGGUGCUGGUAGGAUAUUCCUGUGGAGAUGUGUAGUAGAAUCCGAAGUGUGAAACUGGAACUUGGAGGGAGAGAUCAAGGCUGGAAAUAAAACAUGUAUGAGUAAGGAGAGUUAAAAAUAAAGAGAAAAAGAGAGCAUUUGUUAGCUGGAGUAAAAGGAAGGGUACAGGAAAAGCAUCAUAGAGAAGAGAGAAUUUGAUCUGACUUUAAAAGAUGCCGAGUCGGUAUAUGGCAUUCUGUUCACGAGCUUUCCUUGUUGAGGGGACAUCACAUUUACUAACUUGAGAGAUAAUACAUGGGAAGUGUUGGACAAAGGAUACUGCAUCCAGAAUGACCUUUCUAAACUACAAAAUCAUUUCCCCUCUUUCCUGCUUAACCCUCCCUCAGUGGCUUCUUAUCUUUCUUCAGAUAAAGGACUGACUCCUAAAUGUCUUCAUCAUCACCAAUUUGAACACACAUUGUGUCUCACACUCCUCCUCGUUCCUCACUCUUCUUCCCCAAGACUGGACAGAAUGUGAAGAAGAUAUGAUUUCCACCAGAUGGAGUACUCUUUAUACUUUUUUGGGGUCCUUUAUGGUUACUUUUUGUGGCCAUGGUCAGGUUCUUAUCCAUAAAAUAAUUAUUGAUAACUUCCUAAUGUAAAAUGAAAAAUAAUGAUAAAUCACAUACUUCCCUCAUUUUUACAGAAUUCCUUGCUUGCCUUAUCUCUUCAAGUGUUGACUGCAAGGUUCCUGUACACUUACUUGAGUUGGCCACUCCGGUCACUAUACCCUGAUCUCUGACACUUGGCCGUGGUAGCCUGGAGCAGCAUUGUUACUGGGCAUUGCUGUGAUUGGGUUACCCAGCUGUGCUGAUGUGGAAACCUCAGGGCUAUUUAUUGAUACUUGGUUUCCUAAAGGAAAGUUGAGGGAAUGUAUUUUAUGAGAGGGCUUUAUUUACACGAUUAAAGAGGUUUAUAAAAUGUGGAGAUGAAUAUAGGUGAAACAGAGAAAGAAUGCUGGUAUAGGAGGUGUUUUCGGCUGGGUUUGGUGGCUCAUACCCGUAAUCCCAGCACUUUGGGAGGCUGAGGCGGGUGGAUCACUUGAGUCCAGCCUGGGCGGCGUAGUGAGACCCAUCUCUACAAAAACUACAAAAAUUAGCUGGGCAUUGUGUUGCAUGCUUGUAGUCCUGGCUACUCAGGAGGCUGAGGUGAGAGGAUUGCUUGAGCCCAGGAAGCAGAGGUUGCAGUGAGCCAAGAUCGUGCCACUGCACUCCAGACUGGGCAAUAGAGUGAGACCCUAUCUCAGAAAACAAACAAAAAUCCCCAAAAAACCAGGAAGUGUUUUCUUAGGGUCUAGUUCCCAGGCGAAUGGUAUAUCCUGAUUCUAGGUUUAUAAAAAUAGUAUAUUAUUCAUAACAUUUGUCUAAAGUGACACAUUUACAUACAGUAUAUAGUAUUGAGUAAUUUCCAACUCUUUAAAAAUAAUGGAGACCCUUUCAUGUAGUAGUAACUAUGUUUUUAGUAUCUGUUGACUGAGAAAAUACGUAACAGCAAAAGCUACUAUAAAACUUUGAAAUAAGUUCUUGUAAAUGUAAAAAAAAUUCUCAUAUAUUUGGAAAGUAUACAUGUGGAAAUUAUGACUUAUAGAGUCUAUGGACACUUGAUUUCUUGCUUUAUGGAUACUCUCAGGAAGUUCUGGUCUCAACUUUGAGUAUCUCAUUGUCCUCUUACUUUAGAAUGUGGGGUAUGGGGGAAAACUUCUAUUUGAAAAUUUGAGCCAUAGCGGAAAUUUUGGAAUGACAGGGAAACACCUUCUCAGAAUCCUCUUACAAUAAAAUUUAUAUAUGUUAUGCCAGACAAUGUACUUUAUACUAAGACUGGACUUUUAAAUAGUCUCAUGGAUUAGAAGUCAGAUACAAUAAAUAAAUACUUUUUAAAAAUUAUAUUUUUAGGUAUAUGAGCAUUGUUGUUGGGACUACAGUGCUAUUUUAAAGUGAAAUUUAGUUGAUUUGCAUGUGAGUAUACACCUACAGGUCUCUGUUAUAGCCGUGACAUGUCUUCUGUUACUAUAAAUUACAUAACAAAUCCUUAUGGUUUCUUGGGUCACUUAUUUUAUUUAAAGACAAAAACAUCUUUCAGUACAUAUGUAAGACUUAAGGCAUUAUUGAAAAUAAGCCUGUGCUACAUGGUAGAAUCUAUUAAAAAAAAAAAAA
rnacentral:lncRNA from 10 species